UCAUAAACAUGGCACAUUGUCAUUAUUGUCUUCAUUAAACGCCAAUUCCAUGUAGCCUCAUUUAGAUACUUUCCCCAAUUGUCUUGAAUAGAUUUAUGAGCUGCCCGUAGAUUAUAGCUUGGUAUCCUUGCAGAAAUAUGGUGGGGGAUGUGGACACUGAUAUCAUGACAGAGGACCUCAAUCCAAUGAGGAUAAUCACAAUGAACUGUUCCAUUAAGCUGGGCUUGAGCUGCAUUCCACUCCUCUGAAGAUUUAAAAGGAAUGUGUGGAGCUGUAUGAUGCACCAUUGUGAACGUACUCAUCCAAAAGUGAUAGCCCAACCAUGGCAUUAACCAGAACUUGAUCCAUCCCAUGAUCCCUGUUUUAUAGAUAAUCAAUGGCCAUCCAAUUGCCAUAAAUGCAAAAACACAAGCCAAACUUAUCUUCACCCUUUUAACUUCAUUUGGUCUAAACUUUUUU
rnacentral:misc_RNA from 1 species